GCGCUCAUAGCUCAAUUGGAUAGAGCGUCAGCCUCCGGAGCUGAAGGUUGCAGGUUCGAGCCCUGCUGGGCGCACCA
rnacentral:tRNA from 1 species